AGCUGCGGCAGCGACGCUGAUGCGUUGUUGGGUAGGGGAGCGUUCUGUAAGCCUGCGAAGGUGGCCUGUGAGGGUUGCUGGAGGUAUCAGAAGUGCGAAUGCUGACAUAAGUAACGAUAAAGCGGGUGAAAAGCCCGCUCGCCGGAAGACCAAGGGUUCCUGUCCAACGUUAAUCGGGGCAGGGUGAGUCGACCCCUAAGGCGAGGCCGAAAGGCGUAGUCGAUGGGAAACGGGUUAAUAUUCCCGUACUUGGUGUUACUGCGAAGGGGGGACGGAGAAGGCUAUGUUGGCCGGGCGACGGUUGUCCCGGUUUAAGCGUGUAGGUGUGUGUUCCAGGUAAAUCCGGUUCACUUUAACACUGAGGCGUGAUGACGAGGCACUACGGUGCUGAAGCAACAAAUGCCCUGCUUCCAGGAAAAGCCUCUAAGCAUCAGGUAACAUCAAAUCGUACCCCAAACCGACACAGGUGGUCAGGUAGAGAAUACCAAGGCGCUUGAGAGAACUCGGGUGAAGGAACUAGGCAAAAUGGUGCCGUAACUUCGGGAGAAGGCACGCUGACACGUAGGUGAAGUGAUUUACUCAUGGAGCUGAAGUCAGUCGAAGAUACCAGCUGGCUGCAACUGUUUAUUAAAAACACAGCACUGUGCAAACACGAAAGUGGACGUAUACGGUGUGACGCCUGCCCGGUGCCGGAAGGUUAAUUGAUGGGGUCAGCGCAAGCGAAGCUCCUGAUCGAAGCCCCGGUAAACGGCGGCCGUAACUAUAACGGUCCUAAGGUAGCGAAAUUCCUUGUCGGGUAAGUUCCGACCUGCACGAAUGGCGUAAUGAUGGCCAGGCUGUCUCCACCCGAGACUCAGUGAAAUUGAACUCGCUGUGAAGAUGCAGUGUACCCGCGGCAAGACGGAAAGACCCCGUGAACCUUUACUAUAGCUUGACACUGAACAUUGAGCCUUGAUGUGUAGGAUAGGUGGGAGGCUUUGAAGUGUGGACGCCAGUCUGCAUGGAGCCGGCCUUGAAAUACCACCCUUUAAUGUUUGAUGUUCUAACGUGGACCCGUGAUCCGGGUUGCGGACAGUGUCUGGUGGGUAGUUUGACUGGGGCGGUCUCCUCCUAAAGAGUAACGGAGGAGCACGAAGGUUGGCUAAUCCUGGUCGGACAUCAGGAGGUUAGUGCAAUGGCAUAAGCCAGCUUGACUGCGAGCGUGACGGCGCGAGCAGGUGCGAAAGCAGGUCAUAGUGAUCCGGUGGUUCUGAAUGGAAGGGCCAUCGCUCAACGGAUAAAAGGUACUCCGGGGAUAACAGGCUGAUACCGCCCAAGAGUUCAUAUCGACGGCGGUGUUUGGCACCUCGAUGUCGGCUCAUCACAUCCUGGGGCUGAAGUAGGUCCCAAGGGUAUGGCUGUUCGCCAUUUAAAGUGGUACGCGAGCUGGGUUUAGAACGUCGUGAGACAGUUCGGUCCCUAUCUGCCGUGGGCGCUGGAGAACUGAGGGGGGCUGCUCCUAGUACGAGAGGACCGGAGUGGACGCAUCACUGGUGUUCGGGUUGUCAUGCCAAUGGCACUGCCCGGUAGCUAAAUGCGGAAGAGAUAAGUGCUGAAAGCAUCUAAGCACGAAACUUGCCCCGA
rnacentral:rRNA from 1 species